rnacentral:rRNA from 1 species
UACGAAGGGGGCUAGCGUUGCUCGGAUUGACUGGGCGUAAAGGGCGCGUAGGCGGAUAGUACAGUCAGGCGUGAAAUUCCUGGGCUCAACCUGGGGGGCUGCGUUUGAUACGUAUUGUCUGGAGUUCGGAAGAGGGUCGUGGAAUUCCCAGUGUAGAGGUGAAAUUCGUAGAUAUUGGGAAGAACACCGGUGGCGAAGGCGGCGACCUGGUCCGAUACUGACGCUGAGGUGCGAAAGCGUGGGGAGCAAACAGG